ensembl:miRNA
GGAGCUGGGAGAGUGGCUCAGAGGACAGCAUGUGCCUGGCAUGAUGGAGGGCCUGGGCUCAGUCCCUACCUCUGAA